rnacentral:rRNA from 1 species
GACGAACGCUGGCGGCGUGCUUAACACAUGCAAGUCGAACGGUAAGGCCCUUCGGGGUACACGAGUGGCGAACGGGUGAGUAACACGUGGGUGAUCUGCCCUGCACUUCGGGAUAAGCCUGGGAAACUGGGUCUAAUACCGGAUAGGACCACUGCCUGCAUGGGUGGUGGGGGAAAGCUUUUGCGGUGUGGGAUGGGCCCGCGGCCUAUCAGCUUGUUGGUGGGGUGAUGGCCGACCAAGGCGACGACGGGUAGCCGGCCGGAGAGGGUGACCGGCCACACUGGGACUGAGAUACGGCCCAGACUCCUACGGGAGGCAGCAGUGGGGAAUAUUGCACAAUGGGCGCAAGCCUGAUGCAGCGACGCCGCGUGAGGGAUGACGGCCUUCGGGUUGUAAACCUCUUUCAGCACCGACGAAGCGCAAGUGACGGUAGGUGCAGAAGAAGGACCGGCCAACUACGUGCCAGCAGCCGCCGUAA